CAGCAGCCGCGGGAAUACGUAGGGUGCGAGCGUUAAUCGGAAUUACUGGGCGUAAAGCGUGCGCAGGCGGUUUUGUAAGACAGGCGUGAAAUCCCCGGGCUCAACCUGGGAAUGGCGCUUGUGACUGCAAAGCUAGAGUGCGGCAGAGGGGGAUGGAAUUCCGCGUGUAGCAGUGAAAUGCGUAGAUAUGCGGAGGAACACCGAUGGCGAAGGCAAUCCCCUGGGCCUGCACUGACGCUCAAGCACGAAAGCGUGGGGAGCAAACAGGAUUAGAUACCCCAGUAGUCCCUGUCUCUUAUAC
rnacentral:rRNA from 1 species